GCGCAAAUUACCCACUCCCGGCACGGGGAGGUAGUGACGAAAAAUAACGAUACGGGACUCAUCCGAGGCCCCGUAAUCGGAAUGAGCACACUUUAAACCCUUUAACGAGUAUCCAUUGGAGGGCAAGUCUGGUGCCAGCAGCCGCGGUAAUUCCAGCUCCAAUAGCGUAUAUUAAAGUUGUUGCGGUUAAAAAGCUCGUAGUUGGAUUUGUGUCCCACGCUGUCGGUUCACCGUUCGUCGGUGUUUAACUGGCAUGCCCGUGCGGACGUCCUGCCGGUGGAUGCGGUCGACCGUGGGCCUCUGGUCUGCGCGUCGGCGGUCCGAUGCAAUCCUACCGCGGUGCUCUUCACCGAGUGUCGAGGUGGGCCGGCACGUUUACUUUGAACAAAUUAGAGUGCUCAAAGCAGGCAGUGGUUCGCCUGAAUAUUGUGUGCAUGGAAUAAUGGAAUAGGACCUCGGUUCUAUUUUGUUGGUUUUCGGAACUUGAGGUAAUGAUUAAUAGGGACAGACGGGGGCAUUCGUAUUGCGACGUUAGAGGUGAAAUUCUUGGAUCGUCGCAAGACGAACCUAAGCGAAAGCAUUUGCCAUGGGUGUUUUCAUUAGUCAAGAACGAAAGUUAGAGGUUCGAAGGCGAUCAGAUACCGCCCUAGUUCUAACCAUAAACGAUGCCAGCUAGCGAUCCGCCGAAGUUCCUCCGAUGACUCGGCGGGCAGCUUCCGGGAAACCAAAGCUUUUGGGUUCCGGGGGAAGUAUGGUUGCAAAGCUGAAACUUAAAGGAAUUGACGGAAGGGCACCACCAGGAGUGGAGCCUGCGGCUUAAUUUGACUCAACACGGGAAACCUCACCAGGCCCGGACACCGGAAGGAUUGACAGAUUGAGAGCUCUUUCUUGAUUCGGUGGGUGGUGGUGCAUGGCCGUUCUUAGUUGGUGGAGCGAUUUGU
rnacentral:rRNA from 1 species